CCUACGGGAGGCAGCAGUGAGGAAUAUUGGUCAAUGGACGCAAGUCUGAACCAGCCAUGCCGCGUGCAGGAAGACGGCUCUAUGAGUUGUAAACUGCUUUUGUACGAGGGUAAACGCAGAUACGCGUAUCUGUCUGAAAGUAUCGUACGAAUAAGGAUCGGCUAACUCCGUGCCAGCAGCCGCGGUAAUACGGAGGAUUCAAGCGUUAUCCGGAUUUAUUGGGUUUAAAGGGUGCGUAGGCGGUCGGAUAAGUUAGAGGUGAAAUCCCGAGGCUCAACUUCGGAAUUGCCUCUGAUACUGUUCGGCUAGAGAGUAGUUGCGGUAGGCGGAAUGUAUGGUGUAGCGGUGAAAUGCUUAGAGAUCAUACAGAACACCGAUUGCGAAGGCAGCUUACCAAGCUACUUCUGACGUUGAGGCACGAAGGCGUGGGGAGCGAACAGGAUUAGAUACCCCGGUAGUC
rnacentral:rRNA from 1 species